AUACGGAGGAUCCAAGCGUUAUCCGGAUUUAUUGGGUUUAAAGGGUGCGCAGGCGGAAGAUUAAGUCGGCGGUGAAAUUUUGCAGCUCAACUGUAAAAGUGCCUUCGAAACUGGUUUCCUUGAGUGUAGAUGAAGUAGGCGGAAUUUGUGGUGUAGCGGUGAAAUGCAUAGAUAUCACGAGGAACUCCGAUUGCGCAGGCAGCUUACUAAACUACUACUGACGCUCAGGCACGAAGGCGUGGGGAUCAAACAGGAUUAGAUACCCUGGUAGUCCACGCAGUAAACGAUGAUUACUAGCUGUUUGCGAUACAAUGUAAGCGGCUGAGCGAAAGCGUUAAGUAAUCCACCUGGGGAGUACGUUCGCAAGAAUGAAACUCAAAUGAAUUGACGGGG
rnacentral:rRNA from 1 species